UGGGCGACACUGGGAUGUUGAUACGCGGUCCACGCGAUGGUGACGAGGAAGCCGGUGCGAAUCCGGCACGGUCCCGCCACUGUGAGUGCGGAGUCGUCCCCGACGAAGGCCACUGCCGGAAUGUCCGGUGGGAAGGCCGGGGACGAUGCCGAGGCACGAGUCAGGAGACUCCCACCGUCGCACCGAAUCGU
rfam:Saccharomonospora sp. CTA-673 NODE_11_length_156307_cov_230.055_ID_15, whole genome shotgun sequence.